ACUAGAUAAAAAAUGCAGAUAAAUACAACACACGUAGUGAGGCUGAUGCUGAACAUAGCGAUCCAGAUGGGUGCAGGUCCCUAGCUACAAAUGAGAGGUGCAAAGGAGCUUCCAGCUCUCUCCUUGCAUAGACUGAACGAACAUGUUCAAGGUGGGGUGAGUAGAGAUGACCAACAUCUGGAGUUAUUCCAGUCCAAGAAUGAACAGUUUUGCUAGUGUAUAUGCUGGUAAAACUGGUGCUUUUAAUAUUACCUAUCACUUUUACUGAUGUUUACUGCUAAGGUCAAGAUUCAGCCUUAAACUUGGGGAAGUCUCAGAAGGACUGAAACAUUUUGGAUACACCUCUUGUGCCUCCACUUAUGUCCUCACUAGUUAGCUUGUGAUGAGAUCUUUUGUUGCAAAGUUACCAUAGGAAAUGUGUGCACUGGCACCAUGUUUUACCUCUACUAGGAAUUAUUAUUUAUUUGUGAGGAUCAAUUUUUUCUUUCUCAGUUUGAAGAAUAAACAGGAGGUAAGAAACCUGAGCCAGUGGCAGCCUUCGGAUCCCGAGUCCACUUCGCGCAGUACCCCACUAUCGGCUUUCCCUCUCUGAGAAUGAUUUUAAUGAUAUUUUCAGGAAUUAGAUUUCCAAAAUCAAGGCUGUUAUUGAAUAUCCAGAAAACAGAAAGCCCUCUUUCAGAUACUGGAAGGCCACUCUCAGUUCUCCCUGAAGCCUUCUCUUUUCCAGCCUGAACAACCCCUGUCCUUGUUGGGGAAGUUUUCCAUCCCUUGGACCAUUUUUGUGGCCUUCCUCUGGAUGCACUCAAAGAUGUCAUAGGGGAGGAGAUGAGAGCCAGCAUUACUGAACAAGGGAGACUGCAGAAGGUUCAAGAGACACAGGCUAUACUACGUUUUGCUCUGAAAUAAAAUUUUACUUAGUCCUGCCUAU